UAGAGGAGACCAGAGUUGCAUUUUGGGUAGUUCAAAACCAAAAAACAGGACUGGGAUCACUUUGAUAUUUGAUCAGAUCAGGAAAUUAAAUUAAAUUUUAAUCUGGAUCUCAUCCUCAAAACAGCUUGUGGUGAAUGUGCAUCCUGAAGAUGGGAGGCAGGCUUAGUGACACCCUGAAUACUGCUGUCUCCUCCAUUGUGUUGCUGUCCAGCUGUGAGACAAAGCAGAGGUCAGCCAGGACCAUCAGCUUCCUGUCCACUUUACAAAACCUCUGUGAGAAGGAGGAGGACCAAGGGUAGCUCUGAGAUUCUGAUUGCCUGCUGUGUCUGAUAUCUCCUCCCCAACCUCUCUCUUGUGGAUCUCCCAGCUGUAGAUGUUAACUAGCGCUGACCUUGGACUGUAUUAUUGACCUGAUGUUGA